GGAGAGGAGAGCGGCGGGCAGGACAGACCCGGCUCUGUGCCCCCUGUCCCGCUCUGGGGGUACCCCUGGAGGGGUCCCUGUGCCAGGGGCUUUCCUGCAGAAUCCACACUCCAGGUGGGAUCAUGGAACCACGGCAUGGCUUGGGUUGGAAGGGAACUGGAACUGCCCUAAGAAGGGCAGCCGUAGCAGGUUCGAGGCAGAGUGAGGACUUGGGGAAGGGUUAGUGUGUCGGCCCGCUCCUCGGGGGGUGGUUUAGGAGGGGGUCAAUCCCCCUGGACCCUCCUCUCCGGAGGGGAUCCGUCCCCUGGGCGCCUCUCCAGGACCCCCUGCUAAUGAGUGGGCUCCGGGGGAAGCAGAGGGCGUCGCGUCGCUCUACAGCGUGAACAGACACACAAAAAAUUAAAUAAAUCGCCAGACAAACGAGCGGCGCCGCCUGUCCCCUUAGCCCCGCCUGUCCCCUCAGCCCCGCCUGUCCCCUCAGCCCCGCCUGUCCCCUCAGCCCCGCCUGUCCCCUCAGCCCCGCCUGUCCCCUCAGCCCCGCCCCGCGCAUGCGCUCUGGGCCUCGCGCACCUGUGCAGGCCCCGCCCCGUCCUCGGACUUAAGUCACGGCGGAGCCGCUGCCGGCCCUCUCCACGUGGGAAUGCUCCUGGGAUGCGGCGGGACCAUCGCUCGGAGCGCUGCGCGAACCCAGCCCGGGGGCUGCUCCCGGUGCUGCACGGAGCCCGAGGUGCUCAGAUCGCAGGAUAUGCUAAAGAUAUACUGGGGUUGAGAGGAAUCCUAAAUCUGAGUCUCAAGUCCGUAGGUUUCCUGCAGCUGGCGGGCAGUGUGGGGCAGGAGGAGGCCAGGAGUCCCUGGAAGGCAACAGCACCUCUUGUGCUUUGGCUCUGUGGUGUCCUGCCUGUGCCUGCGGUGUCCUGCCUGUGCCAAGCACGUCCCAGGGAUGGACACUGAGCUGCCCAGGCAGCGCUGGCACAGACACGGCUCAAGGGCUGCCCGUGGCUCCUGGGCCAGGGGCUGCUCUGAAUGGGCACCUGGAGAUGCUUCAGCCUGGGCAGAGACCACCGAGAGCCCAAAAGCACCGCAAGGCACAGCUGGCAUUUCCUGCUGAUGGCAGCACAGGCCACUUACAGAGGAGCUCAGACAGCGAUUCCUGGUUCUGAUCUCCCAGAGCUCCAACACAGCUGCCAGACAAAAGUCCUUCCUGCAUGCCGAUGAAGGCUUUGUCUGCUCCGAAUUGACGUGUAAUGAAGUGCUGUCUUCUCGCUAAUGGGAGCCAUCGGAGGUGAUCGGUACUUGGCAGGUGGGGUGAAGUUUUGUGUGGAUGAAAGUGGGAGUUUUUCAGGGAGCCAGCUGGAAGUGCAGAAGGGAUGGAAAGGUUUUGCAGGAAGUCCCUUGGCAGAACGUGAAGUAGCAGCCCCCAGUAGCUGUGUGUCAUUUGCUGGUGCAGAUGCUCCAGUAACCACUCCAGUGACAGAAAAUACAGACUCACCAGUCUGGGACUUCAGCAGCAAGCAAGGUGAAGGUCAGCUUUCCAGCAUGUCCCAGUAAUUCUGCAAACUUGUCCAAGCAGAUGUUGAAUUCCUUGUCGAAGGAAGUCAGUGUUCCCGCUCUAGAGUGAAAAAACUUGAGCUGGGUGAGGUUCAAAGAUACUUCAGUGAGAAGCUGACUAGGUCUUUCCCUGACUUCAGCACAUCCAAACCAAGCCAUGAGGAGUGUGAGAGUGACCCUCAGGGCUUGAUGAGCAGAGAAGUGGAUCCCAAAGGCUGCCAUCUUCUGGAAAAAUCCAGUCAGUUGGUGUCUCAGGUCAGCAGCCUAAUCAAUGAGCACUGAACCCAUCAAGAGAAGUGUAGAGAUCCAUGCAGGCUCUGAAGAGCUGCUGCCAUUCCCAGGAGACAGGGGUUUGACCAGUGGAAAAACCACUGAGAGAGAGGAGGAGGAAAAUGCUGAGGUUGUAAAUGGAGAUCAUCAAAGCAAAGAAGGAAGUGGUUCUGAUGAGAACUGUGUUGGGAGUCUAUCAGCACAAGCUGGCUCAGAAAGAAACAAUGAGAGCUUCCCUGAUGACAGCAGUGAAGACCCAGUGGAAGGCUCAGAAAGCUCCAUCAAACCAAAAAUCCCUUUAUCUGAUCCUGUUGUUGUUCCCAACUUCUUCCUUCCACCCCAGGAGAUGGAAACCUCCGUGAGACUGCUCAGCACUUCCUCUCAUCCCUCUGCAUCUCCAGAGGGAUCCUGCUGGAGCUGGUGACAAACCCCUAGCCCUACACGGACAAGGCAGCAGACCUGUUUCAGAAAGCCAGCAUGCUCCAGGUGGCUGUGUUUAAACAGGACUCUGAUAGCAUCCAGCAUCCCUGUCUCUCACAUUGACGGUGUGUGGUAACCCAUCAACAACAGAAUUUCAUGACCUGGGGCUACAUUUUCUAGCCCUAAUCAGCAAACUGGGGAUGGAUAACUCUAGAAAUCCUGUUGAGUGAGGACCCUCCAGGAUUCAGCCCUCCACGUGUACUUGGUAUCAGAAGUAGAAGGUGGAAUUUCAAAGUUUCCGCUUUUCCCCUGAAAGUAAUUUCUGAUGUGGCUGUGCCACUUCAACAGUAUUUGAAAUCUCUCUUCAUGCUCUUGCAGCAGCAUUUUUGAACUAAAAUGGAAAUUUAGCGCUUCUGCCUGGGACUGUUGACAGAAUCAUGGAAUCCCAGGAUGGUUUGGGUGGAAAGGCUCCUUAAAGCUCAGCCACUUCCACCCCUGCCAUGAACAGGGACACCUUUCAGUAGCUGGGCUGCUCCAAGCCCCAGGGUCCAACCUGGCUUUGGACACCUGCAGGGAUCCAGGAGCAGCCACAGCUUCUCUGUGCUGGACAGCAGCAUUGAAAGGCAGAGUGAAGGUUCAGCCAUGAUUUUUGUGUUGCACUUACCAUUGUAUUGUGUGACAAAUGUGGCUUUCAUCCUUUUUUUAUUUUUUUUUUUUUUUGAGAAAUUACAAAGACGCCUUAUAUUCCUGGAGUGUUGCAUUCUACCUCUGUUGUUUUUCCUGUAAGUCUGGAUCCUCUGCUUAGAAUUUUUUCUUCACUUAUUAGAUGUCCUGGAUAUGGUGGAUGUCCUGAUUGAGGGCAGUGAUGGCUUUGAUGAAGCAAUUGGGUUCUCUUUAAAGUGAAGACAUGAUUAUCCAAACAUUUCCCUUCAGUGCUGUUGUCCCUGCUGCCUUAGAAGCCAGGAAUAUACUGUUGCUUCAGUCUGAAAAUGGAACAGGGAGAUGAACGCAAACUCACAGCCAUUCAGUCCUGACAGUCCCCUGCAGUGAGAGCUCAGUACACAUCCACAGAGGCAAGUCCAGCAUCUGAAAGAAAACAAACCAAAGGAUAAGGUGAUUUCUUGCACUUCCAAGUUAUUUCAAGUUCUUAAAGCCCAAGCAACAUUUGCUCUCGAUUUUGCUUGGCUGAAUCAUGCGCAGUGGGCACAGGUCAAGGCAUUCAUGCAGCUGUAAACCCAGGGUAAUUUAGAGGGGACACAAGAAGUGUUUGUGUAGGAACAUGCGAGGGGAUGUCAAGGGGAGUGAGGUCUUCCUGGCUCCCUUAAGAGGCUUUUUACUAUCAGCAAAAGAGCAAAUUGUGUCUUGAUGUGCAGAGGUGUUCCUUUAGAGGCACUGCUGUUAUGGGAUGAACAUCAUUAAGUUCAAGGGUAAUGGUAAUAGGAUGAGGCAAAGAACUGGGAAAACUGGCAGAAAUGGAAUAUAUCAGGCCCCACAAUGGCAUGCAAACAAAAGAAACAAGAGAAAUCCUGCCUAGUUUUUUAUCUUGUCUGGCCUUGCUUUCUUUGCCAAGUUACAAGGUCUCUGUACCUAAUUGUGGGUCAAGGUCUUCCCCUUCCCCAGGAAAGAACUGGGCUGUGCAGUCCUUGGGUCACAGCACUUCCGUAUUUACCUCUUGUUGUUUGACCCUUCCCACCCUUGAAUAUCUGAGGGCAGGGAGCUCCACUUUGUGUCUGUGCUAAAAAAAAACCUUGGGAGUGAUAAAAUAUGAUCAAUUCAACAGGAAAAACACCACAACAAAUUCAAAAUACCCCAAUCCCCCCGCAAAAACCAAAACAAAAACCAUCCAAACCAGCUGAAUUUCAUGCAUGAUCGGAUAAAGAAUGCUUGGAUGCAGCAUCAAAACCUUGAUGUCAACCAAUUAAUGCAGUUCCUUAGCUAAGAAUUGCAUUUGGAGAAAGUAGAGGGUGAACAGCAUUUAUAAGACAUUGAGAAGUUUAAAUGGUUCUUAGAAAAAGCAAGCAGAUAAUAGAUGGGGAAAAAUACCACUGAUGCCUCAAUAAAAUCAGCAAUUUUAAGGUGUAAAUAAGGCCUGAAUAAGGUUGGCAAUUCUAAGGUAUAACACAAUAAUAUAAAAUAAAGUAUUAACAAACCCCUUUGCCUUACUGCAUACAAUUCAGCUAACUUCUUUGCAUGUAUUAUAAAAGAAAAUAAAAAUUGUUUUAACUCUGGUGAUGUGAAGUGUUAAAACACUUCAAAACCAUACUUUACGUAUGAAAAUGGUAAUCCCAGUCCUGUCCUAAACAGUGAGAUUGAAAACCAUCUCAGAAAAUCGGUUUUUGUGGUAUUGCCAGGCCCUCUUUGCAGACCAACAAUAUGUUUAUAUUCUAGAGUUAGGACAAGAUUGAGAUAAGAGCCCAUUUUCAGUUAUUUCUUCUAACAGAAGUGAUAGGUUUUACAAUUUGCCAGUUGCUGAAAUGCUUUGUAUGAAGAUCAAAAAGAAAUAUUUCCUUUGUGUGAGAGCAAAGUAUUUCUGUGUAAUAUUUGGGGCUUUUUUCUUCUGUCAAAUGAUAUUUUUUUAAAAUUGCCUUUCUAGAACUCUCUUCUGAAUGAACCAAUAUCUGUUGUAUUUUUUUAAUGUUUCUAAAAUGCAAGACAAUCCAGCUGUUAUGCUGGCUCUGUGUUUGCCCUCUGUUUAUGCAGUGUGGAGGACCAUCCAUCAUCUGCCCUGGACUUCAGAAUGAUGACAUCUGGACUUCAUCCUCACAAUGCUGUAGCACUGACACUUCAAACAAACUCAGAAAAUGAUAAAAAAAAAAGGGCACAACUUACAACCAUUCCACAAGCAUAAUAUCUGUGUGCAAACAAAAGGCUAAAUUUGGCUGGAAAUAAUUAAAGUUUUGGGGUUUCUUUUUUUUGGUCUUGCUUUGGGUUUUCCCCCCCUCUUCCCUCUUCCUGGUUUUAACUUCUUGAACUUUUAAGUUAAGGCAGGCUGAAGGCGUGAAAUUACAGAUGGUGCUCACUCAUCCUAAAAUUGAAAACUUCCUCUUUCCAAAGGUAAUUGUUUCCAGUUGAUACUUGCCACUUGAAGGAGGUAAGUCAAUCAUUUCUAGAAGGAAAACAGCUCUUAUAUUCCCGAGAAGGAAAACUCCCUGAAAAGAUCUGUGUCCUCAGAAAAGGGACUGCAUCUUCUUUCCUUCAUCUAUAAUCUAAUUUCAGGUGUCAAAUCCACACACAGAAACUUUGGCAGAAACAGGUAGAAGUAGCAAGAGUUCCUUGAUAUUUAUAGACUAUGAAUGCAAAAACAUAACUGGGAAAAGCAGAUAAUAUAUUUGAAAAUAUUCAGUAUUUCAAAACUUACUUAAAAAAGCUGGCCUUGGAGAUCUAGAGCCUGUAACCUUUCUGAAAUGUGGAGUUUCAACAGCAGAUCAUGGAACAACUGCAAGAGUAUGCAAAGACAGUAGGCCAUUUACAGUGUGCUUGGUUAUGUUUCUAACCCACAUUGAAAAGAAAUCCUGGAUAACACUAUCUAUCUAAAUAAACAUCGUUACAGUCAGAAAUAUCAAUUAGGUUCUUUCAAUGACUUCUGAUAAGCUUCUUGAGGGCAUGCUGGCUGGUAAGGAUGUUCUCAUUAUUUAGCAGCUCCAGACUGGGAGUAGGAAUCUUUGGUUUUUGUCUUUACUGCUCAGCACAGAUGCAAGCCCAGACCUUAGAGGGAAAUGAACUGUGCCUCUUCUCCCUGGGUUUAAUAAAUAUAUGCAGACAGUAAAGGCCUGCCAAGGUUUAGGAAUCCUGCAUUUAUUUCAGGUCUGAAGAAUAUCUCCUUUAGGGUUAGAAAUUCCUUUCCCUCUGAACAUUCUCCUUCACAGUUUCCUCUCACUGCCUUUUUCUCCCAACUCUUCUCUCCUUAUCCCAGGCUUGUAUUGUCCCUGUUUGCCCUCUUGGAAAAAAACAAACAAACAAAUAACUGACAGCUUCAAUUUGUGUCUUUCAAACACAAGUUUGACAGCUUUUAUUUUCUCAGCUGUUUCUGUCUUCUGACAAGCAGAAAAGCUGCCCUGAGUGCAUACUUGCAAGUGAUACAAGCAGUUUUGCAUGCAAGUUCUCAGAAAAUUUUUUGUGGCUGAGAUUUGAAUACCAAGACUUAAAUCUGAUGCUUAAUUUGAAUCAUCCCAGUGAGCUGGACUCAAUCAAUAGCUGCCUUUGCUUUAUUCAGGAACAAACACUCUCCAGGUUCUUCCUGUUCCUGUAAAAACAAGGUUAUUUCCUCCUGUCUGUUUGCACCUCGAUUUACUUCAUCUGAAUCUGAUAAGGGAUUUUAGGACAUGUGAAAUUAGCAGCAGCUACCUAAAAUUUGUAUUCUCUCAGGGAAACCAGGUCCUUGUAUGUCCUGUUAAUGACUCAAUUUUUUUUCAAGGCAAGCAAGGAGGAAUGAGACCCAAAGUACAUCUUUGCAAAAUUAUUGUAAAAUGUUCAAGGGAAGGCAUAAGAGCUGUAAUUCUAAUAAAAGAGAGGGGGGGAAGGGGAAAAAAAGGAAACAAUAGAAAAGGGACUACAGAACCUGCUCCAGUAACGGCAGAGAAGGACUUCACACACUAAACCUCCAGGUUCUGUGAACCUGGGGUUCCUGAGGUAUUACAGGAUCUGUCUCAAUGCCUGAUUUAAUAAAACUCAACUGAAAAACUC